GAGAGAGGCCCGAAACAAUGAGGACUGCUAAUCCCCAUCCCCAUGGUUAAAAUCCAUGGCUCACUCGC
rnacentral:tRNA from 1 species